UCUUGGAGAAAAGGGGGUUAUAGAAGUCGUAAUCGGAAGAAUCACACUUUGGUUUUACCGGGAGUUCUCUUCAAGCACUUCACGUAGAGCUUUCUAUUGACAUGGAGCUUUAGAACAAUGUGAAGUGUUUGGGGGAACUCUUGGUACCAAGGUGUUAUCGUGCUAGCAAUGGUACUCCUACACGCAUAACUAUCGUUGCAGAUCUCGCUUGGUGUUCCCAAGAGUUCCUUGCAAGCACUUCACAUAGAACUUCUGUUACUCUCAUGUAACAUUGGGAACUUGAGAAGCUACUGUGAAGUGUUUGGGGGAACUCUAGGUGGCACCUAGCAUUCAUUCUCUUGGUGAAAGGGGCAAUGGAAGUCGUAAUCAGGAGAAUCACACUUGGUUUUAUCGGGAGUUUCCUUCAAGCACUUCACGUAGAGCUUUCUAUUGAUAUGGAGCUUUGGAACAAUGUGAAGUGUUUGGGGGAACUCUUGAUACCAAGGUGUUAUCGUGCUAGCAAUGGUAUUCCCACAAGCAUCACUAUCAUUACAGAUCUCUCGGUUGGUGGCCCCAGGAGUUCCUUGCAAGCACUUCACAUAGAACUUCAGUUACUCUCAUACAACAUUGUGAUUUUGAGAAGCUAUUGUGAAGUGUUUGGGGGAACUCUCGGUGCCAACAAGCAUUUACAAGGCAUCAACAAUGAUUG
rnacentral:precursor_RNA from 1 species